rnacentral:rRNA from 1 species
UACAGAGGGUGCAAGCGUUGUUCGGAAUUAUUGGGCGUAAAGGGCGCGUAGGCGGUGCGGUAAGUAUGCGGUGAAAUCCACAGGCUCAACCUGUGGCCUGCCGCGUAGACUGCCGUGCUGGAGUGUGGGAGAGGUGAGUGGAAUUCCCGGUGUAGCGGUGAAAUGCGUAGAUAUGCGGAGGAACACCGAUGGCGAAGGCAAUCCCCUGGGCCUGCACUGACGCUCAUGCACGAAAGCGUGGGGAGCAAACAGG